AUUGAACGCUGGCGGCAUGCUUUACACAUGCAAGUCGAACGGCAGCACGGGCUUCGGCCUGGUGGCGAGUGGCGAACGGGUGAGUAAUAUAUCGGAACGUACCCAGAAGUGGGGGAUAACGUAGCGAAAGUUACGCUAAUACCGCAUACGAUCUAUGGAUGAAAGCAGGGGACCGCAAGGCCUUGUGCUCCUGGAGCGGCCGAUAUCUGAUUAGCUAGUUGGUGAGGUAAAGGCUCACCAAGGCGACGAUCAGUAGCUGGUCUGAGAGGACGACCAGCCACACGGGAACUGAGACACGGUCCAGACUCCUACGGGAGGCAGCAGUGGGGAAUGUUGGACAAUGGGCGCAAGCCUGAUCCAGCAAUGCCGCGUGAGUGAAGAAGGCCUUCGGGUUGUAAAGCUCUUUUGUCAGGGAAGAAACGGUAGAGGCUAAUAUCCUUUGCUAAUGACGGUACCUGAAGAAUAAGCACCGGCUAACUACGUG
rnacentral:rRNA from 1 species